UGACUAUUGGCGAAGAUAUGGCCUUCUCUGUGGGCCAUAAUGUCAAUUGCAGCGGAUUUCCAAAUUUUGAAGGGGACCCCCAGGAAAAUAUCGAAAAAAUCAAAAAAAAAAUUUGUUCCCAGAUUUUAAUGCAGUUUUAUGGAGAAUCUUUCUACAAAUCGUUAAAGGUAUUCCGCUCAAGAAUCUGAUGGUUUUUAGCGAAGAUAUGGCCUUCUUUGUGGGCCAAAAUGUCAUUCGCAGCGGUUUUCAUAAUUUUGAAGGGGACCCCCAGGAAAAUAUCGAAAAAAUCAAAAAAAAAAUUUGUUCCCAGAUUUUAAUGCAGUUUUAUGGAGAAUCUUUCUAAAAAUCGUUAAAGGUAUUCCGCUCAAGAAUCUGAUGGUUUUUAGCGAAGAUAUGGCCUUCUCUGUGGGCCAUAAUGUCAUUUGCAGGGGUUUUCAUAAUUUUAAAGGGGACCCCCAGAAAAAUAUCGAAAAAAAAAACAAAAAAAAGGCAAAUAUACAUACAUGUAUGUAUUGAAAAACCAAAAAAAAACGUGCUUCCCAAAUUUUAAGUCAGUGAUUCAUUUGUUAAUCAUUUUCUUAAAUUAUGAAAACAAAAUAAAACUAAAAAAUAUUUUUUUAUCAGUUUAGUAGAAAGGCAGCUACGGCGGCGCAUGUCAAAUCUUCGAAACUUUCUCCACUGAUAACGAAAAACAAAGAGGAAAUGGGGAAAUGCUUUAGCAAAUUUAUAAGCAAGCAAGCCCAUAUCGUGAGCAUUAAAGUUCCAUUACCUUGGUAAUUGAGAUAAAAUUUAGCUGGCCGGAUGAACUCCCCCUCGUAAAGAAUUGAUAAAGCUACGCGUUGGAUUAGUCAUGCUACCGAAUAAUAUUAUUUUUGGAGGUCAGAAAUUAUACAAAUAUUAUUUCAAUUUGCCAGAAGGUCAAAUGAAUGUAUUGAAUUUUAGUUUGCUUUAUUUAGGACUAGACUGUCAACAUCCCGGAAAGGUAAGCUCUUAAGAAAAAAAAAUAUUCAAAAUAUCCCGUAAAUAGUUGUUUAAAUUAGACUUGGCCUAAGUUGUUUUAAAUUCUAUAUAUCCAAGCUUUAUUAUUCUGACCGCAAUUGUGGGUCGUUAUAUCGAAUUCAGCCCACUCCUGCAGCUGCAGUCGAGACGCUGUUGCUCCCGGAGACCUUCUGGCCGUGCAAUCUCAAAGACUUUGUGAACUGUGUGGAGCUGUGAGCUAUGAGCUGUGAGGCUGGCACACAAAAAAGUGCAUUAAGAUUACAGCUGGCGACUGUCUGACAGUUGUUGGGGCCGCUGCAACUUGUCCGAGGAGCUUAUCAGCUGUCGAUGCACUUGUAGCGCCACUUUCAGUUUCAUUUAGAGCCGCAGAUGCAGAUGCUGUUCGAGUUGCACUUGGAGCUGGGUGAAAGAGCUCCAACUGAAGGCGACUCAUUGACUUGGGGUGGGUGUGGGGGUGCAGCUGGGAGGCAUUCGAGCUUGGAGGAGGGCGUGGGGCCACUGGACGGACAAUGCUAUUGAUUAUUGACUCAGCUGCAGCGACUUGCCAAACAGAUGACACAGAGAAAAAAAUCAAAGAAAGUGCUGUCUUUGUGUGCAGUGUUCAAGUUUUGUAGUUAGGUAAUGACGGGGUUUAGGGCUCUGAACUAAAGAGGAAGUUCCUCAAAUGAAAAGAGAGUCCUAGAAAAUGAAGAUUCUGAUGGUUAAUUUUUAAUAAAUCAGCUUAGAGUUUGUAACUAUGACAUAGUCUUUAACUAUCAUAAAAGGUUGGUCUAUUUGCCCAAAUACUAGGAAAAUCGCAUCCCGAAAAUCUCAGUGUACUCUAGGCUUUUUCCCGGGGCCGCUUCAGGGCAGCUUCACUUAAUCACGGAUCAGAUCAGCCGGCAGCGGCGGCGGAGCAUCGCCGGAUUGCUGUUUACCUUCUCACGCGUCAGCGGUUGAAACGCAAAAUGCUUUACGGCAACAACUGCGCCAAGUGCAUCAUUUCAAAAGUUUCAUCACCAAAAGCAUCAACAUCGAUCGUUCGCGGUUAGGCAUUUUUUAAUUGAGCCGCCGACUUUCCACUAUAAAUCAAAGGUCUUGCGAUGAUUUGUUUGCAAUUUAAAUGCAAAUAACGACCACCCAGCAGCAGCAGCAACAGAUCCAAAAUUAUAACUUAAUUUUGGCAGAAGUCUGCAAAUUCAAGCCGGCCGAACCGAAACCAGCAAUGAGAUGAAAAUGCCUUCGAGCCAUGUUGGCGAUGAAUUGCGGCCCAAACCGAAAAGGUUGGCUUCGAACAAAAAAAUAAGGUGGAAGAGUGGAGCCUGGCUAACCGCAAGACAAAGCCACACAAAGCGAUUCAAUGCAACCAAGGGGCAUGAUUUGUCUUCAAAAUACUCAAAGCACCCCUUGCCAAGUCUCCCGCUAAAAAAAAUGACUCCAAAACCGACAAAAAUAUAUAUCAUAUGGCCUGAGAAAGAGAUCGAGUUUAGGACUGUACAGUAAUUGGAUGGAGGGGAAUCCUUUUAUUUUUCAGGAAAGAGGGCAUCUCUGAAAAGCGUUAAACCGAUCACAAGGAACGAUUCCGAGAAACGCAUCGCUUUGUCCGAUACUCUUUUUAUUUUAAUCUUCCAGGUUCCAAGUCCCCUUGCCUGAGCUGCAAAAAGGCCCCAAGCCCAAAACCAAUCCCCGAAAUAUUAAUAAAAGUCGUCAUCGUCAAAAGGAAGCGCAGUCAAUCCCUAAAAAAUUCAACAAAAAAAAUUGCAAACCAAACCCAGCGAAAGCAAAACCAACAAAAAACACGAAAAAAAGAAGUUAUGCCACGCCGGUGUUCAACAAAUUUCAAUCUCGGCUCAAAGGCAAACCCUCUCUCCAGGGACAACUGAGGAAGACGCGAAGAAGGUUCGCUUUGGGCCUGCACGUGCAGCAUUGAAAUGCGCCGCGCGUUGGACCCAAAGGAUCUUUGCCAAAAAAAAAUAUAUAUACCAAAAAAAAAGGGAAGCCACAGAGAACAAGGAACGGCAGAACCCAGCCGAAACCAAAUGAAUUGAAAGAAUUCCUUGCGGGGCAUACAGAUACUGAUAUUCGGUCUCAGACUGGGAUCAGCUUCAAAAUAAGAGUGCACACAGAAAAAUUUAUUUUAGAAUACAUAUUAUAUUUAGAAUUUAAUAAAAUUAAGCAAUCGAACUAUAGUUAAUAAUAAUAGAUAGUUUCCCUUAUUCUUACCAUUUUCGAAAACAAAUGUCGUUACAUUUAUCAGAUAGCUCAAUAUCCUGAUCCUUUAAGCCUUAAAUAAUCCUUUUUUUUCAGUUCACUUUUGAAUCUGAGAAUCAGAGCCAGUCCAAACCUUCGACGAACCGUCUCAGAUCAAACGCUAAGAUAGCUCUGGACGGAUCGGCUGGAUGACCAUUCCGCCUCGUUUUGGCCAAAAUGCGCUAAAGAAAUUCUUUGGCUUCGCGUUGGCCUUUUGGUUUCUGGUCGCUUCUCUGGGGUUUUGGUUCCCUUUUUUCUGUGUGAAUAGUUUUUUAUUUUAUUUUCCUUUUCUUUUUUUUUGCGAAUUUCAGAGCACUUUGCUUUGUCGCUGGCCUUUUGUUUUUGCGGACUUUGAGAGGUGGCCUUUCAUUACGAUUUGAAUUUCAGAUUGAGUUUUAAUAGCCGCAACUCAGUCGAACCACACCUGCAUUUUCCCUUCAUUCUACCUUUUGGCAUUUUUUUUUUUGCCUUUUGCACACACUGUCUGUCUGUGUUACUUUUGGCAGUUUUUGUUGCAUUUGCAGCA